rnacentral:rRNA from 1 species
AUUGAACGCUGGCGGCAGGCCUAACACAUGCAAGUCGAGCGGAUGAAGGGUGCUUGCUUCUGGAUUCAGCGGCGGACGGGUGAGUAAUGCCUAGGAAUCUGCCUGGUAGUGGGGGAUAAUGUCUGGAAACGGGCGCUAAUACCGCAUACGUCCUGAGGGAGAAAGUGGGGGGUCUUCGGACCUUACGCUAUCAGAUGAGCCUAGGGCGGAUUAGCUAGUUGGUGGGGUAAAGGCCUACCAAGGCGACGAUCCGUAACUGGUCUGAGAGGAUGAUCAGUCACACUGGAACUGAAACACGGUCCAGGCUCCUGCGAGAGGCAGCAGUGGGGAAUAUUGGGCAGUGGGCGAAAGCCUGAUCCAGCCAGGCCGCGUGUGUGAAGAAGGUCUUCGGAUUGUGAAGCACUUUAAGUUGGGAGGAAGGGCAGUAAGUUAAUACCUUGCUGUUUUGACGUUACCGACAGAAUAAGCACCGGCUAACUUCGUG